UACGUAGGGUCCAAGCGUUAUCCGGAAUCACUGGCGUAAGCGUGCGUAGGUGGUUGUUAAGUGUAUUGCGAAUCCUGUGGCUCAACCAUAUGGACUGUAUGCAUACUGGCAGACUAGAGACAUGAGAGCAGUGGAAUACUGUGUAGCAGUGAAUGCGUAGAGAUCAGUAGACACAUGCGAGCAGCUGCUGCAUGUAUCUGACGCUAGCACGAAGCGU
rnacentral:rRNA from 1 species